AUGAACGCUAGCUACAGGCUUUAACACAUGCAAGUCAGGGGCAGCAUGCUGAUAGCUUGCUAUCAGUGAUGGCGACCGGCGCACGGGUGCGUAACACGUAUCCAAUCUGCCCGUUACUCGGGGAUAGCCUUCUGAAAAGGAAGAUUAAUACCCGAUGGCAUGUAUUUCCGGCAUCGGAGAUACAUUAAAGAUUUAUCGGUAACGGAUGAGGAUGCGUACGAUUAGCUGGUUGGCGGGUAACGGCCCACCAAGGCGACGAUCGUUAGGGGUUCUGAGAGGAAGGUCCCCCACACUGGUACUGAGACACGGACCAGACUCCUACGGGAGGCAGCAGUGAGGAAUAUUGGUCAAUGGACGCAAGUCUGAACCAGCCAUGCCGCGUGCAGGAAGACGGCUCUAUGAGUUGUAAACUGCUUUUGUAUAAGGGUAAACCUCGGGACGUGUCCCGAGCUGCAAGUAUUAUACGAAUAAGGAUCGGCUAACUCCGUG
rnacentral:rRNA from 1 species